GCGUUGGUGGUUCAGUGGUAGAAUUCUCACCCUCCAUGUGGGAGUCCUGGGCUCGAUUCCUGGCCAAUGGA
rnacentral:tRNA from 1 species